rnacentral:rRNA from 1 species
AACGAACGCUGGCGGCGUGCCUAACACAUGCAAGUCGGACGAGAAAGUUCCUUUCGGGGAACGAGUACAGUGGCGCACGGGUGAGUAACACGUUGACAACCUGCCUUCCAGUCCGGGACAACCCCGCGAAAGCGAGGCUAAUACCGGAUAAUAAGCCGGGCCGCAUGGCUUGGUUUUGAAAGACUUGUCUCUGGAAGAGGGGUCUGCGGGACAUUAGCUAGUUGGCGGGGUAACGGCCCACCAAGGCUAUGAUGCCUAGCGGGUCUGAGAGGAUGAUCCGCCACACUGGAACUGAGACACGGUCCAGACUCCUACGGGAGGCAGCAGUGGGGAAUUUUGCGCAAUGGGCGAAAGCCUGAUCCAGCCAUGCCGCGUGAGUGAUGAAGGCC